GGGGGACACGAUCGCGUUGGUGCCUUCCGAAAGGGGCUUAAAAGGGAACGCGGUGAGAGGGGCUACCCCUCGAAGCCGAGGCUGUCCCUGCAACUGUAAGCGGUGAGCGCGAUGCAUAUCGCGGCAGGCCAAUGUGCCCUGCCGCAGCCACUGGGCCGGACGCUAACUCCUGCGAGGCCUGGGAAGGCCGUGCAUCGCGUGACGACCCGUAAGCCAGGAGACCUGCCAGCGUCCGGUCGCUCUU
rnacentral:ncRNA from 2 species